rnacentral:rRNA from 1 species
ACUAUUGUCACGGGUUACCGCGGCUGCUGGCACGGAGUUAGCCGGUGCUUCUUCUGUGAGUGAUGUCCUUCCUGCCGGCUAUUAACCCGCAGGCCUUCUUCCUCACUGAAAGUGCUUUACAACCCGAAGGCCUUCUUCACACACGCGGCAUGGCUGGAUCAGGGUUGCCCCCAUUGUCCAAUAUUCCCCACUGCUGCCUCCCGUAGGAGUCUGGGCCGUGUCUCAGUCCCAGUGUGGCUGAUCAUCCUCUCAGACCAGCUACGGAUCGUCGCCUUGGUGAGCCGGUUACCUCACCAACCAGCCUAAUCCGACAUAGGCUCAU